rnacentral:rRNA from 1 species
CCUACGGGAGGCAGCAGUGGGGAAUAUUGCACAAUGGGGGCAACCCUGAUGCAGCGACGCCGCGUGAGUGAAGAAGUAAUUCGUUGUGUAAAGCUCUAUCAGCAGGGAAGAAACUGACGGUACCUGAGUAAGAAGCGCCGGCUAACUACGUGCCAGCAGCCGCGGUAAUACGUCGGGGGCAAGCGUUAUCCGGAUUUACUGGUUGUAAAGGGCGCGUAGACGGGAGUGCAAGUCUGGAGUGAAAGGCGGGGGCUCAACCCCCGUACUGCUCUGGAAACUGUACUGCUUGAGUGCAGGAGAGGUAAGUGGAAUUCCUAGUGUAGCGGUGAAAUGCGUAGAUAUUAGGAGGAACACCAGUGGCGAAGGCGGCUUACUGGAUUGUAACUGACGUUGAGGCUCGAAAGCGUGGGGAGCAAACAGGAUUAGAUACCCGAGUAGUC